rnacentral:lncRNA from 1 species
AUUCUAUAGGAUCAAAUAUUCAGACUCUAGUCCUAAAGCCAAUUUGAACCUAAUAAUCCAAAAAUUAGAUAAAGUCAACCUUCUUAUAAAUAAAUUCAUAGUUCUACAUCAAUAAUCUCCUAUACAAUACACACCACCUCUCAAGUAUCAGGAGAUUUAUUCUAUGUGUGCUAGCCCAGUCUAUCAUGUGAGUGAAUAUCCCACGACUGCAUAGUUUUCACUUUUCAUCCAAGAACAAGUUCAAGCUCCUCAAGGCUACUCCAAAUCUAUUAAUGACCUAUUCUCAAACACAUAUAACUCAAGUUGGAGAAACCACC